UACGAAGGGGGCUAGCGUUGCUCGGAAUCACUGGGCGUAAAGGGUGCGUAGGCGGGUCUUUAAGUCAGGGGUGAAAUCCUGGAGCUCAACUCCAGAACUGCCUUUGAUACUGAAGAUCUCGAGUUCGGGAGAGGUGAGUGGAACUGCGAGUGUAGAGGUGAAAUUCGUAGAUAUUCGCAAGAACACCAGUGGCGAAGGCGGCUCACUGGCCCGAUACUGACGCUGAGGCACGAAAGCGUGGGGAGCAAACAGG
rnacentral:rRNA from 1 species